GACGAACGCUGGCGGCGUGCUUAACACAUGCAAGUCGAACGCUGAAGCUCAGCUUUUGUUGGGUGGAUGAGUGGCGAACGGGUGAGUAGCACGUGAGUAACCUGCCUCCUUCUUUGGGAUAACGCCCGGAAACGGGUGCUAAUACUGGAUAUUCACUGGUCUUCGCAUGGGGGUUGGUGGAAAGGGUUUUUCUGGUGGGGGAUGGGCUCGCGGCCUAUCAGCUUGUUGGUGGGGUGAUGGCCUACCAAGGCUUUGACGGGUAGCCGGCCUGAGAGGGUGACCGGUCACAUUGGGACUGAGAUACGGCCCAGACUCCUACGGGAGGCAGCAGUGGGGAAUAUUGCACAAUGGGCGCAAGCCUGAUGCAGCGACGCCGCGUGAGGGAUGGAGGCCUUCGGGUUGUGAACCUCUUUCGCUCAUGGUCAAGCCGCAACAAUGGUUGUGGUGAGGGUAGUGGGUAAAGAAGCGCCGGCUAACUACGUG
rnacentral:rRNA from 1 species